rnacentral:rRNA from 1 species
AUACGGAGGGUGCAAGCGUUAUUCGGAAUCACUGGGCGUAAGGGACGCGUAGGCGGGUUGGCAAGUCAGAUGUGAAAUCCUACAGCUUAACUGUAGAACUGCAUUUGAAACUGCUAACCUAGAGUAUGGGAGGGGGAGAUGGAAUUAGUGGUGUAGGGGUAAAAUCCGUAGAUAUCACUAGGAAUACCGAAAGCGAAGGCGAUCUCCUGGAACAUAACUGACGCUAAGGCGUGAAAGCGUGGGGAGCGAACAGGAUUAGAAACCCUAGUAGUCC